rnacentral:rRNA from 1 species
AUUGAACGCUGGCGGCAUGCUUUACACAUGCAAGUCGAACGGCAGCGGGGAGGAGCUUGCUUCUCUGCCGGCGAGUGGCGAACGGGUGAGUAAUACAUCGGAACGUGUCGAGAAGAGGGGGAUAACCACCCGAAAGGGUGGCUAAUACCGCAUAAAUUCUGAGGAAGAAAGCUGGGGACCUAGGAAUAGGCCUAGCGCUUUUUGAGCGGCCGAUGUCGGAUUAGCUAGUUGGUGAGGUAAAGGCUCACCAAGGCGAAGAUCUGUAGCGGGUCUGAGAGGAUGGAUCGCCCAACUUGGACUGGAACACGGCCCAGACUCCUACGGGAGGCAGGAGUGGGGAAUUUUGGACAAUGGGGGCAACCCUGAUCCAGCCAUGGCGCGUGUAUGAAGAAGGCCUUAGGGUUGGAAAGUACUUUUGUUAGGGAAGAAAAGUCAGCUGUGAAUAAUGGCUGAUACUGACGGUACCUAAAGAAUAAGCACCGGCUAACUACGUG